rnacentral:rRNA from 1 species
UACGGGGGAUCCGAGCGUUAUCCGGAUUUAUUGGGUUUAAAGGGUGCGUAGGCGGACUGAUAAGUCAGCUGUGAAAGUUUACGGCUCAACCUUGAGAUUGCAUUUGAUACUGUUAGUCUUGAGUAUAGAUGAGGUGGGCGGAAUUUGUGGUGUAGCGGUGAAAUGCUUAGAUAUCACAAGGAACUCCAAUUGCGAAGGCAGCUCACUGGGGUAUAACUGACGCUGAUGCACGAAGGUGUGGGUAUCAAACAGG